CCAUUUUAUAAACACAGAAACAGAGAUUCAAAAGGGUCAGGUCACUGGCUCCAGGUCAACUCUACUACUAAACAGAAAAGCAAGGACCAAAAUUCAGAUCUUUGUGACCCUCAAUGCCACUAUGCCAUGCGAUGAUGCCUGCCUCUUUUAGAGGCCAACUAAUAGGCCAACUUGAUUUUCUUGAGGAAUGGCCGAAUGGAAGUUGAAUGGUUGAAGGUGACUGGCAAACAGAGAAACAAGGCACCAAGAACUGGCUAUUUCCAAACGUGGGCAAUCAGCUUCUGAAUGAAUAGUUCAGAAUGAUGCAGCUCUGGAUGUUGGAAAGGACAAUUCCGGCGUUUUACUCUUCUGACCAGUUUCUUCGUUUUCAUAACUCUACUUGAAGAACAUAUGAUGUUUGCCAGUGUCUGACAUUACGGACCUCACAGCUUACUGAAUCUGAAAACAGGAGAUAGAGAUGGAAAGAUUUUUAGGAAUCUCCUGGCAGAAGAGCAUUGUUUGUGGCACCUUCCACUUCUGCAGCACUCUUGGAUGCUGACUAUUUACAAGGACUUUCAACUGCCUCCUUCACCCAUCUGGAAAGCCUCAGGAACUUGUUGCAAUAGGGACUGCCAGGUCCCGUUGCACUAUUGGUGGAAGAGAGGUCCACACGGUGCCUACGAUAAGCGAUUUGUUCGUAUCUAUCCAGACUGCAGGUGCAUACAGCCACUCAUCCUCAAAUGCCAUCCUCAGGAGUUUAUGCUGCACACAGACUGGCACAUGUGCAGGAAGACAUAGUGCAGGGCUACGUGCUACAACAUUGUUGGUGACAGCAACAUAUUGGAAGCAACCUGAAUUUUUGUUAAUAGAGGAUUGGCUACAUAAAUGAUGCUAAUCUAUACAACUGGAGUACUAUGAUGCCAUAAAAAAGAAUGUACAAGGUCUUUACGUUUGGAAAGAUCUCUAAGAUAUAAUGAUUUUCUUUGCCUCUCAAGGGAGCUGGGAGAAACUCAAGUCUGAAACUCAAACUCAUCUCAGUCAUUCCUUUCCCUUCAACUAGACCUGAACCUCAGGAGAUCUGGAGUAUGUGCUGAAUUCUACUGGGAACUGAGCCCUCUGAAUAUUAUUAUUGUUUUGCUAAUACUUUUUGCUGGAAAGUACAUCAAACCAGGAUGUGUUGUACCUCUUGCUUUGCCAGACUAUUUAAAAGCAAAAGUGACCAGAUAUCCAACUUAAGGCUGAUCCAGGUUUUUCAUGAUCUAGCCAGGGGAGACAAACCUUCCAGGAAAGUCUCUAGCGAAGGCCAAGGAUUUUAGAAAGUAUCUGUGAACAAAGAAAUGCAAUGUUAGUGGGCUAAUUUCCAUAAUCAAAUGAAGCUGAUGCAAGUGCUUUGUGAAUUGAUGCCCAUCAACGAGAGACUGGAUAAAGAAAAUGUGGCACAUAUACGCCAUGGAAUACUAUGUAGCCGUAAAAAUGAACAAG
rnacentral:lncRNA from 1 species